CAGUGACGGACUGGCCAUCUGGAAUUUGGGCAAAUGCCAGAAGGGCCGCCCCCCUAUGGACCCCUACGGGCCACAACUGAUGCGUGAAAAGAUUCACUUGGAAGGCAGAGUUCCUAAUUUCCAAGCUAGGUUAUUGACAAAAAUAGAGCCGGUGUGUUGCAAAUGCCAGGGCCGUUUUUUGAUCCCAGUCCGUCACUGUUUAUUAGAGCUCGGCC